AUCUCCCUUCUUUAUCUCUCUUCUCCUCACAUUCUCCUCCAGUUUUUCCUCCCUUAUCUCUCAACUCCGUUCACUUCUGAGUUUUGUCGCCCGCAGCCUCGUGGAAGAGGUGGCGGCUGCGCAUGGGCGCCCGCGCCGGUUUGGCGCCAAACGAGAGCGAGCCCCGCCUCCCGGGUUUUGCACACGGCCCCUCGGCCGCGCCCGCUGAGGGCGCGGGGGGCGUUUGCCUUCCUUUGUCUCCUUUCCUUCGUCUCCAUCUCCUUUCCUUCGUCUCUAUUCUUCUCACAUUCUCCUCCAGUGUUUCCUCCCUUAUCUCUCAACUCAGUUCGCUUCUGAGUUUUAUCUCCCGCCGCCCCGCUCUGCUCUGCCGCGUUGUGUCUUCGCGCUUUCCUCCUCAGUUUCCCCUUGAGGAAGCAGGUGCUAAUGCAGGUGUUUCAUUGACAGUCACAGGAUGGCAACUGCUCAGAAGCAAAGGAGUUCAGUGAGUGCAGUUGUAUUUCCCAAGAAAAUAGCCACGGAGCAGCAAUCCCUGAUGCUGGUGAAGAGGCUCCUGGCAGUGGCAGUGUCCUGCAUCACAUACCUGAGGGGAAUCUUCCCUGAAAGUGCCUAUGGAACCAGAUACAUGGAUGAUGUCUGUGUCAAAAUUCUGCGAGAAGACAAAAACUGUCCUGGCUCUACCCAGCUGGUGAAAUGGUUGUUAGGAUGCUAUGAUGCCUUGCAGAAGAAAUAUCUGAGACAGAUUGUCCUAGCAGUCUAUACCCAGACAGAAGAUCCUCAGACAGUCACAGAGUGUUACCACUUCAAGUUCAAGUACACCCACAAUGGGCCACUCCUGGAUUUUGGCAGCAAGGACAAGAGCUCAGACUCCACCAUCAGCUGUGCAGACACCAAGAAGGCCAGCAUCCUCCUGAUCCGCAAGAUCUACGUCCUGAUGCAGAACCUCAGCCCCCUGCCCAACGACGUCUGCCUCACCAUGAAACUGCUCUACUACGAUGAGGUUACACCCCCUGAUUACCAACCUCCAGGAUUCAAGGAGGCCAAGGAUGAGGGGCUGCUGUUUAAGGAGGAGCCCAUGUACCUGAAUGUGGGGGAAGUGCCAACACCUUUUCACCUGCUGAAACUGAAAAUCACCACUGAGAAACAGCGCAUGGAGAAUGUUGAUAAGAGCAUCCUAAAGCAGGGAGAGAGUGCUGAGCCUCGGCAGGUGGCAAAAGAAGAGAGCCAGGACAUGAAUGAGGAUCCUGUCUUGGAUAAUGAAGUGGAAGAUAAGAAUAAUGUGAAUAUUUCAGAAGCUCAAGAAAAGAAUUCAGCUAAAGAAGAGGAAGCUGGAGGGUUCCAGACUCCCCUCAGUGUUUCCAAUCCUCAGGUUGAUCAUUUGACCCGUAAAACAUCUGAGCUGAUUGUGUCAGAGAGCAGGACAAGAAGUGGAAAGAUAUUCCAAAGCUGCAUUGUGCACCCGGCUGAGCUCUCCUCCAGCCAGGAGGUGCUGCCCAAAAGGAGGAAGCUCAGCGAGCCCAAGGAACAGUUUUAGUUGCCCAAAAGGAGGAAACUCAGCGAGCCCAAGGAGCAGUUUUAGUUGCCCAAAAGGAGGAAGCCCAAGGAACAGUUUUAGUUGCCCAAAAGGUGGAAGCUCCACCAGCCCAAGGAACAGUUUUAGUUGCCCAAAAAGAGGAA